rnacentral:rRNA from 1 species
GUCCACGCCGUAAACGAUGUCGACUAGCCGUUGGAGACCUUAGUGUUUUAGUGGCGAAGCUAACGCGAUAAGUCGACCGCCUGGGGAGUACGGCCGCAAGGUUAAAACUCAAAUGAAUUGACGGGGGCCCGCACAAGCGGUGGAGCAUGUGGUUUAAUUCGAUGCAACGCGAAGAACCUUACCAGGUCUUGACAUCCAGAGAACUUUCCAGAGAUGGAUUGGUGCCGCAAGGAGCUCUGAGACAGGUGCUGCAUGGCUGUCGU